CUUAAUUUCCCGCCAACUCCACUCCAGGUAAGUUUAAAGCAAGAGCUAGGCAGUUGACGUGCAGGGGUUCUAGCUCUCAGGUAAAUACAGAGUUCAAUACACAGGUGAGUAUUCACAGGGCUAAGCUGUUAGCGUGCAGGGGUUCUUGCUCUUAGGUAAGUACAGCGUUCAAUACAAAGGUAAGUAUUCACAGGGCUGGGCUGUUGGCGUGCAGAGGUUCUAGCUCUCAGGUAAGUACAGCGUUCAAUACACAGGUAAGUAUUCACAGGGCUAGGCUGUUAAUGUGCAGAGGUUCUAGCUCUC